UUCGGAUUGGUUGUAUGUAUAUCCCCGAGGAAUAUGGGAGCUGUUGCGUUAUACAAAGCAAAAAUACAAUAACCCAGUGAUUUAUAUCACUGAGAAUGGGAUAUCAGAGUUCAACAAUAAUACAGAGACAUUGGAGAAAGCGUUGACAGAUAACAUGAGAAUAGAUUAUUACUACCAUCAUCUUUUAUUCCUCAACAAAGCCAUCAAGGAGGGUGUUGAUGUAAGGGGAUAUUUUGCAUGGUCAUUAUUGGACAACUUUGAGUGGGCCGAUGGUUACACAGUUCGAUUUGGCAUUACCUUUGUCGAUUACAAAAAUGGGUUGAAGAGGUACCUGAAGCACUCAGCCUAUUGGUUUAAAAGGUUCCUCCAGGGUUAGACCACUAGAAGAUUCCAUGACAAUGUACUUAUAUUCUUUUGUGUUAAUUAGCCCAUUUUUAGUUAAGACUCUUCACCUCUUCUUCUUUACAAUAACUUCUACAAUUUAUAUACCAUACCGAGGUAUGCAAAUUGAUAAGUGAGCCUCACACUUGGAUAGGAUAAGCUAUGUACUAG